rnacentral:rRNA from 1 species
AGCGAACGCUGGCGGCAGGCUUAACACAUGCAAGUCGAGCGGGCACUUUCGGGUGUCAGCGGCGGACGGGUGAGUAACGCGUGGGAACGUGCCCUCUGGUUCGGAAUAACCCAGGGAAACUUGAGCUAAUACCGGAUACGCCCUUUUGGGGAAAGGCUUGCUGCCGGAGGAUCGGCCCGCGUCUGAUUAGCUAGUUGGUGAGGUAACGGCUCACCAAGGCGACGAUCAGUAGCUGGUCUGAGAGGAUGAUCAGCCACACUGGGACUGAGACACGGCCCAGACUCCUACGGGAGGCAGCAGUGGGGAAUAUUGGACAAUGGGCGCAAGCCUGAUCCAGCCAUGCCGCGUGAGUGAUGAAGGCCUUAGGGUUGUAAAGCUCUUUUAUCCGGGACGAUAAUGACGGUACCGGAGGAAUAAGCCCCGGCUAACUUCGUG